UUGCGUCAGGGGAGAGGGUUUCCGAGACGUAAAGGGUUGACGGCGACGUAGAGCAAUGCUCUACGUCGCCGUCAACCCAUUACGUCUCGGAAACCCUCUCCCCUGACGCAA
rnacentral:pre_miRNA from 1 species